rnacentral:lncRNA from 1 species
UUGUAAUAAAUAAGAGAAAAUUAUAUUUUUAUUUAUGAAGAAGCUACGGGUUAGUUUCAAAGGAGGACGGGUACAUUGUUGGACAAGCCGUCCUCGGGGACGGGUAAAAUUUCUGAGUAUUUUCGAGCCCUGGUAUAGUGAGCGGGAGGAGGGAAUGUUAAUAAAAAUUGGAACGAAAAAUUUAAAUCUAUGUAAUAUAAAUUUAUUUUUACGUAGAAAUUAAAUGGGAAUAAUUCUGUAUCGUAAAAUGGAUAAUUUUCAUCAAAAUAUUCUCAAUUCUUUUUAUUAUGUAUUAAAAAUAUUUAAUUUUUAAGAACUUAAUACUUCAUUGCUACAAUUAUUCACAUUUAAUUCUUCGUGAAAGAUUUUCCUCCAUUUUCUUGUUAAGAACUAUCUUAGUAAUAGUGUCAACUAUCUUAGUAAUCAAAGCAAUAGCAAUGAAUUUAUUUCAAGAGUCCUUCAUAGUCAAUAGAAUGUCCCCUUACGAAAAUUUAAGGUUGUUUUGAGGUAUCGGAGGUAUAUUUGAGAUUGCUGAGAAAAGAACCAUUAAAAUUUACCUCAUAAAGGUUGUACGGUGUACCAGGUUGUUUUACAUACACUUCAGCUCAUUUAGAGGUUGUUUAAAAUUCACUUCAAAUCAACCAGGCUGAUGAGGUGAUUUUCAAGGUAUACAGUUUUUCUGACUCAUGUAACAAAAAAGGUAUUUAUGAGACAUGAGAUUUCACCUUAUUUAAAUUAAGGAGAGUCAGGUAUUUAUUGAGGUGUAUAAAGUCACACACACAUUUUAUUUAUAUCUAAGCUUAAAGUUGUUUAAAGUUGACUACAUAUCAACUAGAUUGAGGAAGUGAUUUUUAAGGUAUACAGGUUUUUUUUUCUGAUACUUAUAGCAAAUCAGGUAUUUUUGAGGUAUUAAAAAGUUACCUUAUUUCAACUAAAGAGAGUCUAGUAUUUAUUGAGGUGUAUGAAGUUACAUUUUAUUUAUACACAAGCUUAUUAGGUGGUUGUUUAAAAUACACUUCAUAAUAACUUGCUCACUUCCCAGAGUUCCGUGCGAGCCGGCGAAUGGCGUGUGUGUUGACAAUCGAAAGUUUAUGCGAAAUUUGUUAAGUGUGUUUGACAUUUAUUAAUUUAGUUUAAUCACUUUUAAUCAAAUAUGCUUCAAUUUUCAAACUUAAAUUUUAUUAUUUUUGCUUUAAAGACGCGUCCUGAUCUUGAAUAAUUCUUAGAGGCUAUUGAUAUUCUUAGAGGCUAUUGUUGUAGGUUUAGCAAUAAAAGAGAAAAAUCUGAAUAUUCCUUGUCGCUGUUUAGGGUAACGCUACUGGUGAAUCGUUAAAGCAGGUUACGAACAGUAUAUUUUAUUGUUUUCUAUUUAUUCAAAUAUAACAUUUUUUUAUUUUUUUGCUUAAAUGUAUGUGUUUUAACGUAGCAGUAUGUAAGUUGAUCAAUUGAAUAAAACCUUCAUAAUUUCUCUUAUGUUCAUAAUAUAUAUAUUUACAGAGCUUAUCCUUAAGUAGUUCCCUGAUAUUGCUGAGAUGACCUAGACUGUAAAUAGCACAUGUGCAGCAACGAGGAAGAAGUGGCUAGCUAGCUACUUCUCAGCCUUCCCCUGGGAAAGAGUUCUGAAUUUAUACCAAAAAGAAAAAGUUCCAAUACUUCCAAGUUUCAACAGGUAGACGGAAUAAAUAUUUAAAAUAAUUAUGUAAAGAAAAGAAAAUUUCAGUUUUAAGUAAAAGUAUUUUGAAUUUCA